CGAGGGGUCCUAGCGUUGUUCGGAAUCACUGGGCGUAAAGCGUAUGUAGGCGGGCUUCUAAGUCGGGUGUGAAAUCCCAUGGCUCAACCAUGGAAUUGCAUUCGAAACUGGAAGUCUUGAGUGUGGGAGAGAUUGGUAGAAUACCUGGUGUAGUGGUGAAAUACGUAGAUAUCAGGUGGAAUACCGGUGGCGAAGGCGGCCAAUUGGCCCAACACUGACGCUGAGAUACGAAAGCGUGGGGAUCAAACAGGAUUAGAUACCCUGGUAGUCCACGCCAUAAACGAUGAACGCUUGGUGUUAGAGGUAUUGACCCCUCUAGUGCCGAAGCUAACGCGUUAAGUGUUCCGCCUGGGAAGUACGGUCGCAAGAUUA
rnacentral:rRNA from 1 species